UACGGAGGGUGCAAGCGUUAAUCGGAAUUACUGGGCGUAAAGCGUGCGCAGGCGGUUCGUUGUGUCGGUGGUGAAAGCCCCGGGCUUAACCUGGGAAUGGCCAUGGAAACUGGCGAACUGGAGUGUGGCAGAGGGGGGUGGAAUUCCGCGUGUAGCAGUGAAAUGCGUAGAGAUGCGGAGGAACACCGAUGGCGAAGGCAGCCCCCUGGGCUAGCACUGACGCUCAGGCACGAAAGCGCGGGGAGCAAACAGG
rnacentral:rRNA from 1 species